GACGAACGCUGGCGGCGUGCUUAACACAUGCAAGUCGAACGGAAAGGCCCUGCUUUUGUGGGGUGCUCGAGUGGCGAACGGGUGAGUAACACGUGAGUAACCUGCCCUUGACUUUGGGAUAACUUCAGGAAACUGGGGCUAAUACCGGAUAUGAGCUCCUGCUGCAUGUUGGGGGUUGGAAAGUGUCGGCGGUUGGGGAUGGACUCGCGGCUUAUCAGCUUGUUGGUGGGGUAGUGGCUUACCAAGGCUUUGACGGGUAGCCGGCCUGGGAGGGUGACCGGCCACAUUGGGACUGAGAUACGGCCCAGACUCCUACGGGAGGCAGCAGUGGGGAAUAUUGCACAAUGGGCGGAAGCCUGAUGCAGCAACGCCGCGUGCGGGAUGACGGCCUUCGGGUUGUAAACCGAUUUCGCCUGUGACGAAGCGUGAGUGACGGUAAUGGGUAAAGAAGCACCGGCUAACUACGUG
rnacentral:rRNA from 1 species